GGUGUCGCCAAGUGGUUAAGGCACCGGAUUUUGAUUCCGGCAUUCGCAGGUUCAAAUCCUGCCACC
rnacentral:tRNA from 1 species